CAGUAAAUAGUUUAAGUAAAAUAUUAAUUUUGGAGAUUAAAGUUAAGAUUCUUCUUUUUGCUGA
rnacentral:tRNA from 1 species